GGACGAACGCUGGCGGCGUGCCUAAUACAUGCAAGUCGAACGCUUCUUUCCUCCCGAGUGCUUGCACUCAAUUGGAAAGAGGAGUGGCGGACGGGUGAGUAACACGUGGGUAACCUACCCAUCAGAGGGGGAUAACACUUGGAAACAGGUGCUAAUACCGCAUAACAGUUUAUGCCGCAUGGCAUAAGAGUGAAAGGCGCUUUCGGGUGUCGCUGAUGGAUGGACCCGCGGUGCAUUAGCUAGUUGGUGAGGUAACGGCUCACCAAGGCCACGAUGCAUAGCCGACCUGAGAGGGUGAUCGGCCACACUGGGACUGAGACACGGCCCAGACUCCUACGGGAGGCAGCAGUAGGGAAUCUUCGGCAAUGGACGAAAGUCUGACCGAGCAACGCCGCGUGAGUGAAGAAGGUUUUCGGAUCGUAAAACUCUGUUGUUAGAGAAGAGCAAGGACGUUAGUAACUGAACGUCCCCUGACGGUAUCUAACCAGAAAGCCACGGCUAACUACGUGCCAGCAGCCGCGGUAAUACGUAGGUGGCAAGCGUUGUCCGGAUUUAUUGGGCGUAAAGCGAGCGCAGGCGGUUUCUUAAGUCUGAUGUGAAAGCCCCCGGCUCAACCGGGGAGGGUCAUUGGAAACUGGGAGACUUGAGUGCAGAAGAGGAGAGUGGAAUUCCAUGUGUAGCGGUGAAAUGCGUAGAUAUAUGGAGGAACACCAGUGGCGAAGGCGGCUCUCUGGUCUGUAACUGACGCUGAGGCUCGAAAGCGUGGGGAGCAAACAGGAUUAGAUACCCUGGUAGUCCACGCCGUAAACGAUGAGUGCUAAGUGUUGGAGGGUUUCCGCCCUUCAGUGCUGCAGCAAACGCAUUAAGCACUCCGCCUGGGGAGUACGACCGCAAGGUUGAAACUCAAAGGAAUUGACGGGGGCCCGCACAAGCGGUGGAGCAUGUGGUUUAAUUCGAAGCAACGCGAAGAACCUUACCAGGUCUUGACAUCCUUUGACCACUCUAGAGAUAGAGCUUUCCCUUCGGGGACAAAGUGACAGGUGGUGCAUGGUUGUCGUCAGCUCGUGUCGUGAGAUGUUGGGUUAAGUCCCGCAACGAGCGCAACCCUUAUUGUUAGUUGCCAUCAUUUAGUUGGGCACUCUAGCGAGACUGCCGGUGACAAACCGGAGGAAGGUGGGGAUGACGUCAAAUCAUCAUGCCCCUUAUGACCUGGGCUACACACGUGCUACAAUGGGAAGUACAACGAGUCGCUAGACCGCGAGGUCAUGCAAAUCUCUUAAAGCUUCUCUCAGUUCGGAUUGCAGGCUGCAACUCGCCUGCAUGAAGCCGGAAUCGCUAGUAAUCGCGGAUCAGCACGCCGCGGUGAAUACGUUCCCGGGCCUUGUACACACCGCCCGUCACACCACGAGAGUUUGUAACACCCGAAGUCGGUGAGGUAACCUUUUUGGAGCCAACCGCCUAAGGUGGGAUAGAUGAUUGGGGUGA
rnacentral:rRNA from 1 species